rnacentral:lncRNA from 1 species
AAAAGAAGAAAAAAUGCAAAGGCGAAAACGGCAAAGGAAAAAGAAUAUCGGAAAAAGCUCCCCCUUUUAGGUUUUCAAGGCGGCUAUUUAUAUUGUUGUCAUUAGGUCAUGCCUGCUGCCAGAAAGGUCUUCAACACGUACGUGGAUAUAGGGCCCAACGGAUCUUCAAGUCUCCGAAGCGUUGCCUGCGCCCACAAAGUAGGGGAAUGGUGUGACGUUCGUCACACCCUGUGUGACGCCCGUCACAGGGGGGUGCGAGGCGUGACGCUCGUCACAGCCUCUGUGACGCUCGUCACAGGUGCCACACCCGUGUUCCUGUACUUUGGGUUGGGCUUUGCUGUUUGGUUCGUUUUCUUUUCUUUUUUUUUUUUCCUGCACCCCUUUUCCUCCGCUUCCAAAUAAACCACUUUCAUAUUAUCACUAGGUGCGCGUGUAGCGAGUAGGCCAGUU